GACGUAGGGCGCGAGCGUUGUCCGGAUUUAUUGGGCGUAAAGCGCGUGUAGGCGGCCAGGUAGGUCCGCUGUGAAAACCCGAGGCUCAACCUCGGGACGUCGGCGGAAACCAUUUGGCUAGAGUCCGGAAGAGGAGAGUGGAAUUCCCGGUGUAGCGGUGAAAUGCGCAGAUAUCGGGAAGAACACCCGUGGCGAAGGCGGCUCUCUGGGACGGUACUGACGCUGAGACGCGAAAGCGUGGGGAGCGAACAGG
rnacentral:rRNA from 1 species